UACGUAGGGUGCAAGCGUUGUCCGGAAUUAUUGGGCGUAAAGAGCUCGUAGGCGGUUCGUCGCGUCGGCUGUGAAAACCCGGAGCUCAACUCCGGGCCUGCAGUCGAUACGGCGGACUCGAGUCGGCAGGGGAGACGUGGAAUUCCUGGUGGUAGCGGUGAAAUGCGCAGAUAUCAGGAGGAACACCGGUGGCGAAGGCGGGUCUCUGGGCGAGUAACUGACGCUGAGGAGCGAAAGCGUGGGGAGCGAACAGG
rnacentral:rRNA from 1 species